rnacentral:lncRNA from 1 species
GGCAACAAAUUCUGCUCCCGAGAGAGAAUUUAACCUCCUGGUGACAGUGGCUCGCAAAAUCAGACGCUGAAAAUGGAUUGGUGGCCUAUAUAUAAAUCAAACUACUGAAAGACUGAAGCAUGGAGACCAAGUGAUACCAUAUAUCUGCCCCUCAAGUACUAAUUAUUCAGAGUGAGAAAAUGCAACAUAUUGCAAUAAUGAUAUGUGAUUACUCUUUUAGCUCGCUUCUGAAAAUUCCAACUGCUAUUCCAGCUUUGCAUUUGUAGCUUCUAUGGAUGUCAGGUGCACAAAAGCUUGAGAGUAUUGGGCAGAAACCAACUUACUGUGGAAACAAAAAAUACGCAAAAAAAACAUGUUC